UGGGGAAUAUUGGACAAUGGGCGCAAGCCUGAUCCAGCCAUGCCGCGUGAGUGAAGAAGGCCCUAGGGUUGUAAAGCUCUUUCACCGAUGAAGAUAAUGACUGUAGUCGGAGAAGAAGCCCCGGCUAACUUCGUGCCAGCAGCCGCGGUAAUACGAAGGGGGCUAGCGUUGUUCGGAAUUACUGGGCGUAAAGCGCGCGUAGGCGGAUACUUAAGUCAGGGGUGAAAUCCCGAGGCUCAACCUCGGAACUGCCUUUGAUACUGGGUAUCUUGAGUUCGAGAGAGGUAAGUGGAAUUCCGAGUGUAGAGGUGAAAUUCGUAGAUAUUCGGAGGAACACCAGAGGCGAAGGCGGCUUACUGGCUCGAUACUGACGCUGAGGCGCGAAAGCGUGGGGAGCAAACAGGAUUAGAUACCCUGGUAGUCCACGCCGUAAACGAUGGAUGCUAGCCGUUGGAUAGUAUACUAUUCAGUGGCGCAGCUAACGCAUUAAGCAUCCCGCCUGGGGAGUACGGUCGCAAGAUUA
rnacentral:rRNA from 1 species